GCACUACUGAGGAGUCCCAUAAUAGGACGAAACGCGCGUCCAGGAU
rnacentral:hammerhead_ribozyme from 1 species